rnacentral:rRNA from 1 species
UACGUAGGUGGCAAGCGUUGUCCGGAUUUACUGGGCGUAAAGAGCGCGCAGGCGGCUGGUCAAGUCCGAUGUGAAAUCUCCCGGCUUAACUGGGAAACUGCAUCGGAAACUGAUCGGCUUGAAGGUGGGAGAGGGUAGUGGAAUUCCCGGUGUAGUGGUGAAAUGCGUAGAUAUCGGGAGGAACACCAGUGGCGAAGGCGACUACCUGGCCUGUUCUUGACGCUGAGGCGCGAAAGCUAGGGUAGCAAACGGG